rnacentral:rRNA from 1 species
GAAGGUGGCAAGCGUUGUUCGGAUUUACUGGGCGUAAAGGGAGCGUAGGUGGUGGGGUAAGCCCCGCGGGAAAGCUCCAGGCUUAACCUGGAAAGGUCGCGGGGGACUGCUCCGCUUGAGGACGGGAGAGGAGCGCGGAAUUCCCGGUGUAGCGGUGAAAUGCGUAGAGAUCGGGAGGAAGGCCGGUGGCGAAGGCGGCGCUCUGGAACGGCCCUGACACUGAGGCUCGAAAGCGUGGGGAGCAAACAGGAUUAGAUACCCUGGUAGUCCACGCCCUAAACGAUGGACACUACGUGCCGGCGGGUCUCCGUCGGUGCCGCAGCUAACGCAGUWAGUGUCCCGCCUGGGGAGUACGGCCGCAAGGUUG